rnacentral:rRNA from 1 species
GACGAACGCUGGCGGCGCGCUUAACACAUGCAAGUCGAACGGAAAGGCCUGCUUUCCCUUGUGGAUUGCGGGUACUCGAGUGGCGAACGGGUGAGUAACACGUGAGUGAUCUGCCCCCAACUUGGGUAUAAGCCUGGGAAACUGGGUCUAAUUCCCGAUAGGACUGCAGGGUGGUGCCUGUGGUGGAAAACGAUUUUCUAGUGGUUGGGGAUGAGCUCGCGGCCUAUCAGCUUGUUGGUGGGGUAAUGGCCUACCAAGGCGGCGACGGGUAGCCGGCCUGAGAGGGUGGACGGCCACAUUGGGACUGGGAUACGGCCCAGACUCCUACGGGAGGCAGCAGUGGGGAAUAUUGGACAAUGGGCGGAAGCCUGAUGCAGCGACGCCGCGUGGGGGAUGACGGCCUUCGGGUUGUAAACUCCUUUCGACCGCGAGGAAGCCACGUGGUUGGAAGGGUGGUGACGGUAGUGGUAGAAGAAGCACCGGCUAACUACGUG